GACGAACGCUGGCGGCGUGCUUAACACAUGCAAGUCGAACGGAAAGGCCCUGCUUUUUUGGGGUGCUCGAGUGGCGCACGGGUGAGUAACACGUGAGUAACCUGCCCUUGACUUUGGGAUAACUUCAGGAAACUGGGGCUAAUACCGGAUAGGAGCUCCUGCUGCAUGGUGGGGGUUGGAAAGUUUCGGCGGUUGGGGAUGGACUGGGGGCUUAUCAGCUGGUUGGUGGGGUAGUGGCGUACCAAGGCUUUGACGGGUAGCCGGCCUGAGAGGGUGACCGGCCACAUUGGGACUGAGAUACGGCGCAGACUCCUACGGGAGGCAGCAGUGGGGAAUAUGGCACAAUGGGCGGAAGCCUGAGGCAGCAACGCUGCGUGCGGGAUGACGGCCUUCGGGUUGUAAACCGCUUUCGCCUGUGACGAAGCGGGAGUGACGGUAAUGGGUAAAGAAGCACCGGCUAACUACGUG
rnacentral:rRNA from 1 species